AGGCUCAGCACCACCUUCUCCAGCACACACUGCAGCAGCUGGAUGGAGGAUGGGCUCUCAGACAGAACUACUCAAGAUUAUCUGUGAGACUUACAACAUAGCUCAAGGAGACUAAGCUUUUACUUCAGUCUUGACUCCCUGAAGCUGCUCUAUACCACAGCAGAUCUUCCCAUCACUUCUCAGUUGCCUCUGCGAUACCAUCCUCAGGACUAUUUUCUGUCUGCAGAGCAUUUCUGUAGUUCAGAAGUGCCAAGGCUCACCGAAACACAGCUGGUGCCUCCAAGCUGUUAGUCUUCCUUGUAGGUAUCGUCAUCCAAACUCACCAGGAUUUGGUAUCAGAGAGCUGCUGAUUUUCCUCACUAGCCACAGCAAGAAUUUCUUAGUGAGAGCAAUUUUAACACUCUUACACCAGGUUUAGCACUUAAUGACAGAAAUAGCCCCAGACAAACCUCAGAUGUCCUCUGGAAAGGCCUCGGCCAGGAUCCUGGAAUGAAAGCAGUACUGCUUGGGAAACAUCUUUGCAGACAACAGCAAAGAGCUAUGAUAAAGCUCUCCCACUCCCACAUUGCCUUUAUAUGUGGCCCAUCAUGCUGCUCAGCUGUGUGGGGCUGUGCUGAGCAGCAGCACCUGGUGCUUGCUGAGCUAGGGCACACCUGUGAGCAGGCCUUGCUCCUUGCCUGGUGCUGGUGAUUCACAGAUCACUCUUCUAUCGUACCCUACUGUUCUCAGCUUUAGCACUGGCAGAUAUCCACUUAACUCAGUUUGGUGCUCCAGGUAGGAAGAGAAGCCUUGCCUGUCGCCAUCUGAACAGUCCACUGGUGAAGGAUUGCAGCAGGGCCUGGCCUGGCAUUGCAGGAUGUAGUAAUUGGUGUCUUUCUUACUCCAAAAUCAGCCACCACCAUCCAGCCAGAAGGGAAAGGCAGGCUGAUGCUCUGGAGGGGACAGAGGCUGAUGCGAAUAAAAGGGAGCACUCUUCUGGGGGCUGCAGCCAGGGAAAGUGGGCCUUUCCAUUAGAUGCUAUGGGCCACAUGUCCCUGGGAGGUGAAACUCCCCGCUCUCCCACACAGAGAAGGCAGCCAUUUUGCUCAAGAGCUCAGCUGUGCUGAGCUGUGCAUUACCCUGCCUAAAAUGAGGAAAAACAGGUGGUCCAGACAGCCUGUUUGAGGUUGUCUAAAGCUGUACUAGGCUAAAGCAGGAAAAACAAAACUUUUAAAUGCUGGAAGGCUGUUUGAAAUUCCCUUCCCAGGAAACACUUCAGACAGCUAGCUGGCAAAAUCUGGAUGUGACCCAGUCUUCCAUGACAGAACAACCGUUUUCUUUCAGUCUCCCCUCUCCCUCUCCUUGUUCCUGGACACUUUAUCAGCUCUACUUAUUGUAAUUGUAUUUAUUUUCCUGCUUGGUGGGUACAUGUGCAGCUGCACUUGUUUCAUAAAUGUUAAAAAAAAUGUAUUGGUAAUAUUAAUUUUUAAAUGAUUUUCUUUAAUCUAACUGUGGACCCUAUGUGGCAGGUAAACCCCAGUGACACACUUUGACUUACCCCAUCAUUUGCUGAUGGGAAAACCCACAAGAGCAAAGUCAGUGCUGCACUCUGAGAAAUGAAACCAAAAACUAGAUUGAAAAGUUCAAAUUUGACAUUUCAAAAUGCUGGAUAACAUGGACCUAGCGUAUCGUAGUUUGACAGCUCAAUGUCACUGCUCUGUUACACAGCCCUUGCCUAAAUAAAACAAGCACAUCUAUACAGUUGUAACAUCUAUUUACUAAGGAAAGCAAAAAAGCAAUGCAAUGUAUUU
ensembl:lncRNA